CCUACGGGCGGCAGCAGUGGGGAAUAUUGGGCAAUGGGCGCAAGCCUGACCCAGCGACGCCGCGUGAGGGAAGACGGUCUUCGGAUUGUAAACCUCUUUCAGCAGGGAAGACAAAAGGACGGUACCUGAGGAAUAAGCCACGGCUAACUACGUGCCAGCAGCCGCGGUAAUACGUAGGUGGCAAGCGUUAUCCGGAUUUACUGGGUGUAAAGGGCGUGUAGGCGGGAAAGCAAGUCAGAUGUGAAAACCAUGGGCUCAACCUGUGGCCUGCAUUUGAAACUGUUUUUCUUGAGUACUGGAGAGGCAGACGGAAUUCCUAGUGUAGCGGUGAAAUGCGUAGAUAUUAGGAAGAACACCAGUGGCGAAGGCGGUCUGCUGGACAGCAACUGACGCUGAGGCGCGAAAGCGUGGGGAGCAAACAGGAUUAGAUACCCCUGUAGUC
rnacentral:rRNA from 1 species